CUCUGCCUUCCCUGCGUCGACCAUUUCGUCCCAGCCCCGAGCUCCCCUCUCGCCUUUCCGCUGGCCUCGCGUCCCCGAUGGCGGCGACGGCGGCGGUGGCGAUCCACCAGUUCGCCGAGUGCAUCACCUGCCACGCCUGGAGCCCCGACCAGUCGAUGAUUGCCUUUUGUCCAAACAACAAUGAAGUGCAUAUUUAUAAGUUUUUCACAGACAAGUGGGAGAAACUUCAUGUUCUGUCAAAGCAUGAUCAAAUAGUUUCGGGAAUAGAUUGGAGUAGAUCAUCCAACAAAAUUGUAACAGUUUCACAUGAUAGAAAUUCGUAAGUACACGUCAAACUGCAGAUUCCUAGAAGAUGUGUCUUUCUUCUUAUUGAAACAGUUAAUCAAUGCAUUUUCCCUUUUCCCUUGUACUGUCUGCAGAUAUGUUUGGACACAAGAAGGAUCUGAUUGGAUACCUACCCUUGUUAUUCUAAAGUUAAACCGUGCAGCUUUAUGUGUUCAAUGGAGCCCGAAAGAAAACAAGUUCGCCGUGGGAAGUGGUGCCAAAUCUGUGUGUAUUUGCUACUAUGAACAAGAAAACAACUGGUGGAUUAGCAAGGUUAUCAGGAAAAGGCAUGAAUCUUCUGUCACUAGUCUAGCAUGGCAUCCAAACAAUAUAUACCUUGCAACAACGUCUACUGAUGGUAAAUGCAGAGUAUUCUCUACUUUUAUCAAGGGUGUGGAUACAAGGGGAUCACAAUCAAGCACUUCAACUGAUUCAAAAUUUGGAGAGCAAAUUGCUCAACUUGAUCUCUCAUCUACCUGGGUAUUUGGUGUAAGGUGGUCAGCUAGUGGAAAAACAUUGGCAUAUGCAGGGCACAACUCCAUGAUUUAUUUCGUUGAUGAAGUUGAAUCGGCUCCUGCUGCACAAAAUUUGGCGCUGCGUGAUCUGCCUCUCCGUGAUGUGGGUUCUUUUUGUCUCUGAGCGCACGGUAAUUGGUGUCGGAUUUGACUGCAAUCCUAUGAUCUUUGCUGCUGAUGAGACUGGACUUUGGAGUUUUGUAAGAUUCUUGGAUGAGAGGAAAGUUACUCCAUCAACUUCAAAAGCCUCGCAGCUCUCUGAAGCCCUUGGAAAGCUAUAUGGCCAAUCAAAGCAAGGGACUAGUAGCGACUCCGUUGAACCAUCAAAGCCUCGUGGUGGUGCCCAUGAGAAUUGCAUAACGUGCAUCGUACCGUUGACAAAAGGACGUGAUGGUACUAUAAAACGAUUCAGCACGUCAGGAUUGGAUGGUAAGAUUGUGGUGUGGGAUUUGGAAAACCAUAUGACGAUUGCAAAAUAGCUCAAAGGAAGGUUUCAUAUCAAUCAAAUUGAAUGGACUUGUGCCGUUACCCAUCGUAAUCAGGGACCAUUCUUGGCAGCGGGUCCUGCAGGUUUUCAAGAUCCAGGGCCAGCCAGGUAGAUUGCUUAUUCUGUUGUACCUGUACACAAAAAAAAAACAUUUCUUUAGCGUAGGAGCAGCUUGCAUCUAUCAGGUAGCAUCAGUUUUGGCGAGUAAUUUUGUCUUUUGAAUCCCAUAUAUUGUGUAACCUGUAUAAUUUUAGCUAGGUAGGCAAUGACUUGAUUCGGCGUUUUCCAGUGUUGUUUAUUUCAGUGCCCCGUGUAAAAUAACCACACGUGGAAUUUAUCUGCGGAUGCUUUACUGGUACUUGUGGACAUCUUGUUUGUUC